rnacentral:rRNA from 1 species
UACGUAGGGGGCAAGCGUUGUCCGGAUUUAUUGGGCGUAAAGAGCGUGUAGGCGGCCGUACAGGUCAGCUGUGAAAACUCGAGGCUCAACCUCGAGACGUCGGUUGAAACCGUACGGCUAGAGUCCGGAAGAGGAGAGUGGAAUUCCCGGUGUAGCGGUGAAAUGCGCAGAUAUCGGGAAGAACACCCGUGGCGAAGGCGGCUCUCUGGGACGGUACUGACGCUGAGGCGCGAGAGCGUGGGGAGCGAACAGG